UACGACAAUAUUGUUUUAAUGCCUAGUUGCAUCCUGUAGUAAGAUAUGAUGAUGUUCAAAGAGGUUUGGAGCCUUUGUUGUCUCUAUUUUUCAAGAAAAUAAUGAUUUUAUAGUGGUUAUUCCAUCGAUUUAGGGAUAUUAUGAAGUUUUACUAAAUUAAUUGAUAAAAAACAAUUAACGAUGCUUAUUUACCAUGAAAAUAGUUAACAUACAUUAAUAGAAAUGUAGAAUAUGGUUAGAAAUUUUAAAACAACACUAAAGAUUAUAGGCUUCCGUAUAUAAAGUAUUUACGAAAAACUCAAUAUUUUCUUAGGGUUAACAUAUAGAUUUUGAGAAAAUUU